rnacentral:snRNA from 1 species
AGCUUUGUGCAGUGGCAGUAUCAUAGCCAAUGAGGUUUAGCCGAGGCGCGAUUAUUGCUAAUUGAAAACUUGAGACAGAGUCUCACUCUGUUGGAGUGCAGUGGCAUGAUCUAAGCUCACUGCAACUUCUGCCUCCCAGGUUCAUGU